rnacentral:lncRNA from 1 species
CGUUUGUCACAUAACACGCCCCAACACCAGGAGUCGCUAUAAAGAGGAAGAAAACCAGUCGCUUGUGAUGCCCUAUUCUGUCAGAAGCCCUUACCCAGUUGCAGCGACUUUCAGACCUAGUUAUAGGGGAUAAACUGGCUUCAGUCUUCUACCUUCUUCCGGCUUUGCUCGUGCCUAUUCUUAUUAUCUGACCAUCCUUUUUGUCCUAAGAUGUGGUCAGUCCGAACCGGGAUCGACAUCAUUCUCUUAUUUGCAGUAUUAAUCUGAAAAUUUCUCAAGGGAUCCUUUUUUUAAUGCAUGUAAAGAAAGAGAGAGCUGAAGAGCUGCAAAAGGUCCUGCUUUCCCACAGGCUUGGUGGAGAGUGCAGAACAGUGUGAGAAUCAAUCAUUGCACAACGGAACUGGCUGAAUCCAGUCAGUGCUUAACCACAUCUGCUCGCUGAAGUCUUUCUCGGGGCUCCAACCUUGUUCUUCCAGGUGUGGCUUUGCAUUGAAC